AUUUUGUAUCCUGUGUAAGGGGGGAGUAUGAGUGCCAGGGCAGUUUACUGUUCUGGAUGUCAGAUGUGGGAAGUCAUGGAGUCUGAUAGCCUUCCAGACGUCCACAUCUGUGCCAGGUGUGUCGAGAUGGGGC